rnacentral:rRNA from 2 species
UUAGUCUUUUAAUAGAAGGCUGGAAUGAAAGGUUUAACGAAAAAUUAGCUGUCUCAAUUAUAAACUUGAAUUUAGCUUUUAAGUCAAAAGGCUUAAAUUUAUUUGAUGGACGAGAAGACCCUAUAGAGCUUUACAUUUUAAUUUAAUAAAUUUAUUUGGAUUAAUAAUUUGAAUUUAUUUAUUUGAAUGUUUUGUUGGGGUGACAAGAAAUAUAUAAUUAACUUUUAUUAUUUAAUUUACAUUAAUGUAUGAUUAUUGGAUCCAUUAUUAUUGAUCAAUAGAUUAAGUUACCUUAGGGAU